AAAUAAACCUGGCAGUUUUAAAAAUACUACGAUCACUUGGAUGGUUUUGCUAGGUUGAAGCCUGUUUCUUGCACUCUGGGCAUGCUGACCCCUGUGAGUUUCCCCAAACAGAGGAGACUCAACCACAUAAUUUUGUGGUAAUUGGGGACUGCUUUCUUGCUUUUCUUCU
rnacentral:snRNA from 1 species